rnacentral:rRNA from 1 species
AAACUUGAGAGUUUGAUCCUGGCUCAGAACGAACGCUGGCGGCAGGCUUAACACAUGCAAGUCGAACGCGUGUAGCAAUACACGAGUGGCGCACGGGUGAGUAACGCGUGGAUAUCUGCCUUUUGGUUCGGAAUAACCCCGGGAAACUGGGGCUAAUACCGAAUGGUUCCUUCGGGAUAAAGAUUUAUCGCCAAAAGAUGAGUCCGCGUACGAUUAGCUAGUUGGUGAGGUAAUGGCUCACCAAGGCGACGAUCGUUAGCUGGUCUGAGAGGACGAUCAGCCACACUGGGACUGAGACACGGCCCAGACU